UACGGGGGGGGCAAGCGUUGUUCGGAAUUACUGGGCGUAAAGGGCUCGUAGGCGGCCAACUAAGUCAGACGUGAAAUCCCUCGGCUUAACCGGGGAACUGCGUCUGAUACUGGAUGGCUUGAAUCCGGGAGAGGGAUGCGGAAUUCCAGGUGUAGCGGUGAAAUGCGUAGAUAUCUGGAGGAAUACCGGUGGCGAAGGCGGCAUCCUGGACCGACAUUGACGCUGAGGAGCGAAAGCUAGGGGAGCAAACGGG
rnacentral:rRNA from 1 species